rnacentral:rRNA from 1 species
AACGCUAGCUACAGGCUUAACACAUGCAAGUCGAGGGGCAGCAUUGGAGUAGCAAUACUUCAGAUGGCGACCGGCGCACGGGUGAGUAACACGUAUCCAACCUGCCGCUUACUCGGGGAUAGCCUUUCGAAAGAAAGAUUAAUACCCGAUGGUAUAAAGAGUUCGCAUGUUCUCUUUAUUAAAGAAUUUCGGUAAGCGAUGGGGAUGCGUUCCAUUAGAUUGUUGGCGGGGUAACGGCCCACCAAGUCUACGAUGGAUAGGGGUUCUGAGAGGAAGGUCCCCCACAUUGGAACUGAGACACGGUCCAAACUCCUACGGGAGGCAGCAGUGAGGAAUAUUGGUCAAUGGACGUAAGUCUGAACCAGCCAAGUAGCGUGCAGGAUGACGGCCCUAUGGGUUGUAAACUGCUUUUAUGCGGGGAUAAAGUGAGGGACGCGUCCCUUUUUGCAGGUACCGCAUGAAUAAGGACCGGCUAAUUCCGUGCCAGCAGCCGCGGUAAUACGGAAGGUCCAGGCGUUAUCCGGAUUUAUUGGGUUUAAAGGGAGCGCAGGCGGUCUUAUAAGCGUGACGUGAAAUGCAGCGGCUCAACCGUAUGAUGUGCGUCGCGAACUGUGAGACUUGAGUGUAUUCGAUGUCAGCGGAAUUUGUGGUGUAGCGGUGAAAUGCUUAGAUAUCACGAAGAACUCCGAUUG